rnacentral:rRNA from 1 species
GAUGAACGCUGGCGGCGUGCCUAAUACAUGCAAGUCGAGCGAACAGACGAGGAGCUUGCUCCUCUGACGUUAGCGGCGGACGGGUGAGUAACACGUGGAUAACCUACCUAUAAGACUGGGAUAACUUCGGGAAACCGGAGCUAAUACCGGAUAAUAUAUUGAACCGCAUGGUUCAAUAGUGAAAGACGGUUUUGCUGUCACUUAUAGAUGGAUCCGCGCCGCAUUAGCUAGUUGGUAAGGUAACGGCUUACCAAGGCGACGAUGCGUAGCCGACCUGAGAGGGUGACCGCCCACAUUGGAACUGAACCCGGGCCCAGCCUCCUACGGGGGGCAGCGGUAGGGAUCCUUCCGAAAUGGGCGAAGGCCUGACGGAGCAACGCCGCGUGAGUGAGAAGGUUCUUCGGAUCGUAAAGCUUUUUUAUUGGGGAAAAACAAAUGUUAAAGUAACUAUGCACGUCUGGACGGUACCUAAUAAAAAAACCACGGCUAACUCCGUC